UACAGAGGGGGCAAGCGUUGUCCGGAAUUACUGGGCGUAAAGGGCGCGUAGGCGGCCUGCUAAGUCGAACGUGAAAUCCCUGGGCUCAACCCAGGAACUGCGUCCGAUACUGGUUGGCUUGAAUCCGGGAGAGGGAUGUGGAAUUCCAGGUGUAGCGGUGAAAUGCGUAGAUAUCUGGAGGAACACCGGUGGCGAAGGCGACAUCCUGGACCGGUAUUGACGCUGAGGCGCGAAAGCCAGGGGAGCAAACGGG
rnacentral:rRNA from 1 species